rnacentral:rRNA from 1 species
UAGGGAAUCUUCGGCAAUGGGGGCAACCCUGACCGAGCAACGCCGCGUGAGUGAAGAAGGUUUUCGGAUCGUAAAGCUCUGUUGUAAGAGAAGAACGUGUGUGAGAGUGGAAAGUUGACACAGUGACGGUAACUUACCAGAAAGGGACGGCUAACUACGUGCCAGCAGCCGCGGUAAUACGUAGGUCCCGAGCGUUGUCCGGAUUUAUUGGGCGUAAAGCGAGCGCAGGCGGUUUAAUAAGUCUGAAGUUAAAGGCAGUGGCUUAACCAUUGUUCGCUUUGGAAACUGUUAAACUUGAGUGCAGAAGGGGAGAGUGGAAUUCCAUGUGUAGCGGUGAAAUGCGUAGAUAUAUGGAGGAACACCGGUGGCGAAAGCGGCUCUCUGGUCUGUAACUGACGCUGAGGCUCGAAAGCGUGGGGAGCAAACAGG